UUUAUUAAAUAUAAGAAAUCUUUUUUUACUAAACAUUUGUUUAUGGCUUAUCAAUUUAAUAAGGGAGCAUUACUCUCUCUAUAAAUUACUGCAUCCAAGAAUGAGUUACUUGAGCAAGUUCUUUAUUUUGCUUCAUGUCUUUUGCUAAACUCAUUCCAUUCAAUGUCUUCUUGCCUAUCGCAUUUUGUAUGUUCUGGAUGAAGAAGAUAGGUGCAAUAGAGUGUUUGGGUGUUUGUUUUCCAUAUAAGAAUGAAGCAUGUUGCUUUUCUGGAUGUAUUUGUGUCCCCCUUACACCAGCAUUAGGCUAUUGCAAAUAUUCAAUUGGACCUCAGUAGUAACUUAUGUUAGUCUCAUGAUAAUUGAAAAAAAAAUAGAAACUGGGAAUUUUUGUGUUCAUUGUAGUAAUUUUAAUAUGAAAUAUGGAUUCUGUUUAUGCUUCUAGCUUUGCAUUAAAAGAUAUAUUUUAAAAUAUUUCCUCUAAUUCGGAAUCCGUAAGAAUCAUUUUGAAGAAUUCUAAUACCAAAGUUUUAAAUUACGCCUGUGGUUGCAGAAGUGAUUUCGGUUGUGCUCGUUGCAUUCGUCGUCAUUGUGGAUAUUACGAUGCAAAUUGUUGUUGUUACUGCAUGAAAGUUGUGAGAAAUUAUUGAAAUAUGCAAUUGGAAGAUCAUAAAAAUUAA